UGGGGUGUAGCCAAGCGGUAAGGCAACGGGUUUUGAUCCCGUCAUGCGGAGGUUCGAAUCCUCCCACCCCAGCCA
rnacentral:tRNA from 4 species